rnacentral:rRNA from 1 species
UAAGACCCCGUGGAGGACCGAACCGACUUAGGUUGAAAACUGAGCGGAUGACCUGUGGGUCGGAGUGAAAGGCUAAUCAAACUCAGAGAUAUCUGGUUCUCCCCGAAAUAUAUUUAGGUAUAGCGUCGUGCGUUCAAUAACAGUUGUAGAGCACUGUUCGGGCUAGGGGGCCUACCAGCUUACCGACCUCGGGCAAACUCCGAAUGCUGUUAUUCCAGAGCACGGCAGUCAGAGUGCGGGGGAUAAGCUUCGUGCUCGAAAGGGAAACAGCCCAGACCGUCGGCUAAGGUCCCUAAUUCCUAGCUAAGUGGGAAACGAUGUCCGAUUGCUGAGACAACCAGGAUGUUGGCUUAGAAGCAGCCACCAUUCAAAGAGUGCGUAACAGCUCACUGGUCAAGUGGUCGGGCGCGGACAAUUCAACGGGGCUCAAGCUAGGAACCGAAGCCACGGACUUCACGCUUGCGUGGAGUGGUAGGGGAGCGUUCCCAUGCCGGUGAAGCGGCGGCGUAAGCCAGCCGUGGAGACAUGGGAAGUGAGAAUGCUGGCACGAGUAACGAAAGACGAGUGAGAAACUCGUCCGCCGAAUGCCCAAGGGUUCCUGAGUAAAGCUAAUCUGCUCAGGGUUAGUCGGGACCUAAGCCGAGGCCGACAGGCGUAGGCGAUGGCGAACAGGUUGAUAUUCCUGUACCACGUAGCCACCGUUAUGACCAAUGGCGGGACGGGGUAGGCUAAGGAAACCCUGGCGAUGGUCGACCAGGGGUAACCGCGUAGGGCGACCGGUAGGGAAAUCCGCCGGUCAUAAGCCUGAGACGGGAUGCCGAGCUCCACAAGGAGCGAAGUUCCUGAAGCCAUGCCUCCUAGAAAAGCGUCUAGGCAGGUGGCGCGUGCCCGUACCAAAACCGACACAGGUGGGCAGGUAGAGAAUACCCAGGCGAUCGGAAGAACCCUCGUUAAGGAACUCGGCAAAAUGGCCCCGUAACUUCGGGAGAAGGGGCGCCCCGGUAGGGUCUAGGCCUUUACGGCCAAAAGCCCGAGGGGGCCGCAGUGAAACGGCCCAAGCGACUGUUUACCAAAAACACAGGUCUCUGCGAAGUCGAAAGACGACGUAUAGGGGCUGACGCCUGCCCGGUGCCGGAAGGUCAAGGAGAGAGGUUAGCCUUCGGGCAAAGCCUUGAACCCAAGCCCCGGUAAACGGCGGCGGUAACUAUAACCGUCCUAAGGUGACAUGGCUGAAAAGGACAUGUGAAUGUCCUUGGAGGCAAACCGUUGCCCCCCGCGUUGGUAACGGCGCGGUGCGCAUUUGGCUAUAUGCUGGAAAACCCGUGUAUCCCGCACUACUAUGAUGUCCGGUCGGAUGUCUACAGUGACAACGUGACGGGUGCGGAAAAUCAGCAGGAAAGGCUGAUCGAGUUCCGUGGUUGGGUGAUCGGUUUUGUAGACGGAGAAGGAUGCUUCUCGAUCGGGCUCGUACGGCAACCACACCGUUCGGGCUGAAGGGGCUACAAAACCGGAUACCAGGUCUCGCAUGAUUUCGUGGUGACACAAGGCGCGAGCAGCGCCGAUUGUCUCCACGAGCUCCGCGAGUUCUUUGGAGCGGGAAAGGUGUACGUCAACCGGAGGAACGCCAACCACCGGGAGCAUCUCAACCGCUACGUCAUCUGUCGUCGCGAGGAUCUGCUCGAACGGGUUAUUCCGUUCUUUCGGCAGCAUCCUCUCCGAACGGCCAAACGGCUCGACUUUGAGAAGUUCGCUUACUGCGUCGAGUUGAUGGCCGGUGGGCACCACAAGACUCGAGACGGUCUCAUCGAGAUCGUCGAGGUGGUGCAGACGAUGAACCGGCGUAAACCCAGGCACGAGCUCAUCAGAAUCCUCAGAGGCCAUACGCCAGACAUCCAGGACACUGGAUGAUGAGAUGGUCCCGUCUGCAUGGCGACAUGCAGGGAUGCCAAUCCAAAGGAAGUUGGCGUCCGCCUAAUUGCGAUUAGGUAAGGCUGCUAGCGAAAUUCCUUGUCGGGUAAUCGAAUUGCCCGUACCGGCUCAUAACGGGGAAGCCCUCCUCGUAUGCGACGCUUCAAGGACGUCGUGACGCGAAAGGGUAAUCCCGUGGGAAGUCGGCUCUAUUCGAGCUUGACCCCGUAACGACUGAUCGUUCUUCGGAACGUGAGAUUGUGGUCUCUACCCUUCGGGGUAAAUCUACGGCCAUGAUCAAACGCCGGCACUUGAAAGAAGUGAAGGGAUAGUCUGCGCCUCUGGAAACAGAGGAAUAACGCGAAGUUCCGACCUGCACGAAUGGCGUAACGACUUGGGCGCUGUCUCAACGAGGGAUCCGGUGAAACUGUAGUCUCGGUGAAGAUGCCGAGUACCCGUGGUUGGACGGAAAGACCCCGUGAACCUUUACUGCAGCUUGAUGUUGGAGUCCGGGACAUGUUGUCCAGGAUAGGUGGGAGGCUGUGAAGCGCGGGCGCCAGCCCGCGUGGAGCCAUCCUUGGGAUACCACCCUUCGUGUUCUGGGCUUCUAACCCGAUGCCGUAAUCCGGGUCGGGAACAGCAUCAGGUGGGCAGUUUGACUGGGGCGGUCGCCUCCUAAAAUGUAACGGAGGCGCGCAAAGGUCCCCUCAGCACGGUUGGAAAUCGUGCAUAGAGUGCAAAAGCAGAAGGGGGCUUAACUGCGAGACUGACAAGUCGAGCAGGUGCGAAAGCAGGCUUUAGUGAUCCGGCGGUAGAGAGUGGAAUUGCCGUCGCUCAACGGAUAAAAGGUACUCCGGGGAUAACAGGCUUAUCCUUCCCAAGAGUC